UUUUCGAUUGCAUUGUCAGGCUGCAACUUUUCUGAACUUUUAUGCUCUGCUUCCCUUUUAAAACUGGAUGCCUUUAACAGCACCCAAGUCACCUCUUGAAUGCCUUGCUGCUUAGAAAUUUCUUCUGCCAGAUACCCUAAAUCAUCUCUCUCAAGUUCAAAGUUCCACAAAUCUCUAGGGCAGGUACAAAAUGCCACCAGUCUCUUUGCUAAAACAUAACAAGAGUCACCUUUGCUCCGGUUCCCAACAAGUUCCUCAUCUCCAUCUGAGACCAUCUCAGUCUGGAUUUCAUUGUUCAUAUCAUUAUCAGUAUUUUUGUCAAAGCCAUUCAACAAGUCUCUAGAAAGUUCCAAACUUUCCCACAUUUUCCUGUCUUCCUCUGAGCCCUCCAAACCGUUCCAACCUCUGUCUGUUACCCAGUUCCAAAGUUGCUUCCACAUUUUGGGUAUCUUUUCAGCAACGCCCCCCUCUACUGGUAUCAAUUUACUGUAUUAGUCCAUUUUCACGCUGCUGAUAAAAACAUACCUGAGACUAGGAAGGAAAAGAGGUUUAAUUGGACUUACACUCCCACAUGGCUGGGGACACCAUGGUGGGAGGCAAAAGGCACUUCUUACAUGGCGGCGGCAAGAGAAAAUGAGCAAGAUGCAAAAGUGGAAACCCCUGAUAAAACCAUCAGAUCUCAUGAGACUUAUUCACUACCAUGAGAAUGGUAUGGGGCAAACCACCUCCAUGAUUCAAAUUAUCUCCCACCAGGUCCCUCCCAGAACACGUGGGAAUUGUGGGAGUACAAUUCAAGAUAAGAUUUGGGUGGAGACACAGAGCCAAACCAUAUCAACUUGGGAGAAGACAGAAUAUGAGUUCACUGUUCAAGGUCACACCACCUGGAACAGUGCUGGGACCGGAAUACAGUCCUCACUGGAUUCCAGCCUGCGUCCUGACCACAUUACCCUCUUACUCUUCUGCCCCUGAAGCUAUCAGAAGAGGGGAGGAGAGGGUCUCCUGAGACCCCAGCACACUUGUCAGCGGCUCUCAGACUGCAGGAAGAUUGCCUGGGCCUCCCCAAAAUGCAGAUGGGCCCCGUCCUCAGGGAUAAGACCCAGCAGCUCACAGGCAGCCAGAAAGUUAACACGGAAUACGUGGGACAGGCCAGCAUUUGCCCCAUCACCACAAGGGGGCGCCCGGGGAGAAUCCAGUAGAAGUAGGAAAGGAGCGUUUGGGUGUAAAAACCAAACAGCAGCCAGUGCUUACUCUGACCGUGGGGAGUAAGUACUGUAAGGUUGUCAGGAGGGAAUGAGACUGACAGAAAGCGAAUCCCCUGACCUGAAGGGUUUGCAUUUGAACUAGAAAAAUAGCAGAGGGAUGGGCACACUAAAGGCUCCCACACACACAGAUGUAGGCAUGGAGGGGUGUGUCCACCCAGAGGUUUCCACCACGCCACUGUGCACACGCAGGAUUGUGCAUGUACAAAGCAUCAUAGACUUCUGCUUCUGGAAUUGUGGCAGACCAGGUACUCUGAAGGACCUUCCUCUUAAGAAACAACUGGAUCAUGGAUAAAAUAUACUUUUUAAAGUAUUGCUGAACUCAUGAGAAAUAAGGUACAUCUCCCAGAAUUAGCCUUCUUCAUGUGCACACAAACAUACACACACAUGCACAUACACAGUGGUCAAAGUGAAGAACAUCAAAGACAAAGAGAGGAUCUUAAAGGCAUUCAGAAAGGAAAGUCGGAUUAUCUAGGAGGAAAUAACAAUUCGAUUGGAAGCAGACUUGUCAACAACAGUGACAUCCAAAAAACAGUUGUGUCAUCUCUUUAUAGUAUUUCGGGAAAAUAGUUGACCCUUGAACAGCACAGGUUUGAACUGCGUGAGUCCACUUCUACUCUGAUUUCCUUCCUCCUCUGCCACCCCUGAGACAGCAAGACCAACCCCCCUUCCUCCUCAGCCUACUCAACAUGAAGACGAGGCUGAAGACCCUUAUGAUGAUCCACUUCCACUUAAUGAACAGUAAAUAUAUUUUCUCUUCCUUAUGAUUUUCUUUUCUUUAGCUUACUUUGUUGUAAGACCACAGUAUAUAAUACAUGUAACAUACAAAAUAUCUGUUAAUCAACUGUUUAUGUUACUGGUAAGCCUCCCAUCA
rnacentral:lncRNA from 1 species